rnacentral:lncRNA from 15 species
UGUUGGCACCUGCAUGAACCCGACAGAGAAGCCUCAUUUCUUGUUCUCUUUCCUGAGACGUCAACCACAGGAUGAGGCCUGCGGCAGGUCUCAGGAGAGAGAAUGUUCCAUGACUUUCACACCUUCGACCUCAAGCUCUUGAACUGGGACGGUUGCUUGAGUGCUGAAAGGUAAGCUUCUGCAAUCAUUGUCUAGUCAACGACAAAGAUGGGUCAUGGCAUUUUAAGCUGGUUUUUC